GCCUUCGUGGUGCAGUGAUCAGCACACUCGGCGCGUAUUCGAGAGGUCCGUGGUUCGAGUCCCGGCGAGGGCA
rnacentral:tRNA from 1 species